GAGAGUUUGAUCAUGAAGCAGAUUGAACGCUGGCGGCGGGCUAACACGUAAAGUCAGACGGUAACGGGAAGAAGCUUUACAUACCUUUGACGAGUGUGGACGAAUUGAAGUAAUGUCUGGGGAAACUACUUUGAUGGAGGGGGAUAACUACUGGAAACGGUAGCUAAUACCGCAUAACGUCGCAAGACCAAAGAGGGGGACCUUCGGGCCUCUUGCCAUCGGAUGUGCCCAGAUGGGAUUAGCUAGUAGGUGGGGUAACGGCUCACCUAGGCGACGAUCCCUAGCUGGUCUGAGAGGAUGACCAGCCACACUGGAACUGAGACACGGUCCAGACUCCUACGGGAGGCAGCAGUGGGGAAUAUUGCACAAUGGGCGCAAGCCUGAUGCAGCCAUGCCGCGUGUAUGAAGAAGGCCUUCGGGUUGUAAAGUACUUUCAGCGGGGAGGAAGGGAGUAAAGUUAAUACCUUUGCUCAUUGACGUUACCCGCAGAAGAAGCACCGGCUAACUCCGUGCCAGCAGCCGCGGUAAUACGGAGGGUGCAAGCGUUAAUCGGAAUUACUGGGCGUAAAGCGCACGCAGGCGGUUUGUUAAGUCAGAUGUGAAAUCCCCGGGCUCAACCUGGGAACUGCAUCUGAUACUGGCAAGCUUGAGUCUCGUAGAGGGGGGUAGAAUUCCAGGUGUAGCGGUGAAAUGCGUAGAGAUCUGGAGGAAUACCGGUGGCAGCCCUGGACGAGACGGCGCUCAGGUCACCCGAAAGCGUGGGGAGCAAACAGGAUUAGAUACCCUGGUAGUCCACGCCGUAAACGAUGUCGACUUGGAGGUUGUGCCCUUGAGGCGUGGCUUCCGGAGCUAACGCGUUAAGUCGACCGCCUGGGGAGUACGGCCGCAAGGUUAAAACUCAAAUGAAUUGACGGGGGCCCGCACAAGCGGUGGAGCAUGGUUUUGAAUUCAAUUACAGCGCGAAGAACCCACGAAUCUUGACAUCCACGGAAGUUUUCAGAGAUAGGAAUGUACCUUGGGAACCGUGGAGACAGGUGCUGCGUAAACAUCGUCAGCUCGUGUUGUGAAAUGUUGGGUUAAGUCUGAGGCGCAACCCACUUAUCGCUGUUUACUGGUGGCCGGGAACUCAAAGGAGACUGCCAGUGAUAAACUGGAGGAAGGUGGGGAUGACGUCAAGUCAUCAUGGCCCUUACGACCAGGGCUACACACGUGCUACAAUGGCGCAUACAAAGAGAAGCGACCUCGCGAGAGCAAGCGGACCUCAUAAAGUGCGUCGUAGUCCGGAUUGGAGUCUGCAACUCGACUCCAUGAAGUCGGAAUCGCGCUAGUGUCGUGGAUCAGAAUGCACCGCGUUAAGAUACGUUCCGGUGUACACCGCCGUCACACCCAUGGGAGUGGGUUGCAAAAGAAGUAGGUAGCUUAACCUUCGGGAGGGCGCUUACCACUUUGUGAUUCAUGACUGGGGUGAAGUCGUAACAAGGUAACCGUAGGGGAACCUGCGGUUGGAUCACCUCCUUAUCUUAAAGAAGC
rnacentral:rRNA from 1 species